AAUCACCCGUUGGAAUUAGGAUGAUUUACACAGGCCAUAUGCGGGUGUCUUGUGCGUCCUGACGCACCGAGAGGAUCACUCGUGUCUAGUUUCCGUCUUUGUCGGCAGGCAGCGCACACUCUCAUCAGGACCAUUCACACGUCCAGCGCUCAAACCACAACUUCAGAGAAUUGGCCACCGAUGAAGACAUCAUCCAUCAUCCCACUGACGCUCUGCCAGAACACUUGGAGAUAAAUAUGGAGGCUUUUCAAGUUGUACCUGUCUUUGAGAAACCACACAAUCAUAAACCCACAUAGAGCUGCUGGGCUCCGGGGCCAGACUGGGCACCGAGGCCUGACUGCCAGGCGGACUCAGUGGCUGGACUGGAUGAUAAAGUCCAGAGACUCACUGGUGUCUUUGUUAGCCGCCACCAGUCUCCGGAGAAGCAGGAGAUGGUGGUGCAGAUUUAGAAGAGGAAGAGGAGCACAAAGAAGAGUAAGCGACGGUG